rnacentral:lncRNA from 1 species
UGGGAGAAAAACCCAGGACCCCGGAGCCUACGCCGUAUCCAAUUGAAUCCAACCUCCAACCGAGGCGAUGGCGGGGGCGGGGAGCCCCCCCCGAAGGCAGACACUAAGGAGACAAAAAAAUGCAAGUGGCUUAAGAGCGAGGAUUUGUUUUUCCGAAUCUACCCCCCCAACAAACCGGUCAGCCAAGAAGCCAAGAAAGCGCUGAGACGAGAAGCGGCGGCGGCUGCUAAGGUACUGAUGGACGGACGGCGACUAAGGAGAGGGGAAAAAAUCCUUGGCUGGUGAUGUCGGAAAGCUGUUUGAAUGCCCAGCGAGGAGGGAGGCGCGGGAGGGCGCGAGAUAGUAAAGCUCUGUAUUGGGUGUGCGCGCGGCGCUCGGUCUCCUCGGGCGCGUGAGGGAGGGGGAGCGCGGUCCCGAGGCGCGCUCCGGGCCCCGCGUGCUCGUGGACGCGCGCGUCCAGCGCGGUGCGCCCGGCGGCCGCCCGGGGCUCCACGCGCGCAGCGCGGCCGCGGCGCCUCCAGGAGCUCAGCCUGGCGCGGGCGCGGGCGGGGCGCUGAGAGAGCGGCGGCGCUAGGCGGGAGGACGCGCGGGAGGCAGAGGGGCUGGGAGAGCUUAGCCCGGGCCACCGAGCGCCAGCACGUCACGACUGCUCCAAACCCUGCACGUCCCGGGAGCUGCGCUUUCUGCGUCUGGGAGCGCCGACCUGUCGCAACCCAAGAGCUGUCAUUUCCGCACCGGGAUUCGGAGGGAUGGAUCGCCCGCCACGAAGGGGGCUGGUCUCGGUCCCCGAACUGCUCUGUCCCCGGGUGGAACAAUGCUAGUUUUUCUCUGCUAGGCUGCAAUUAACAUCUUACUUGUUCUGGCUGAUACAGGCUUUGUCGGGACCGCGGUGCGGCGACCGAGAAUUUCAAGUGAACUAAAAUCAAGAAUCUUCAUUUUUAUCCUGAACCUGACUCUGCUUAUACACCUGGCUAUGGACAAGCUGCUGUGGGUUCUCUGGACUUCAGUUUCCUCCUAGGAAAGGGUUUGAGUAAACACUUUCUAAAGUUUUUCCUGAUAUCUACUCACUAAAAGAAGGUGUCUCACAAGAAAUGGAAGCAGAGAAAAAUGCAACAAAAUUCUAGACUAAGAGGAGUCACAGUUGUUCCAUUCAAACAUUGGAAAUGCCUCUGCUCAAUCAUCAUUGUUAAAACCUCCAUAUAUUUACCAGUUUUGUCCUUUCUUCCUUGCUAAGUAGUCAUAUGCUAAUGUAAAGACAGCACUUUACAUUCUUAUUCUUCCCUCACUGUGAUCAUUUUUCUUUCUGAGAUUGAGUUUCCACCCUCCAAUAAUGAGGACAAAAACUGAAGCUGUGAGGACCCACAUGGCUAUUGACCUUAACAUGAGAGACUGAGGUCUGUUAAUCACGCAGCAUUCCUGAAUUCUGGUACCUCUCUGGCCCAGGUCCUUACCAGUCCUGACCUACUCACCCCUACUAUUCCUCUUUCUGCCAGAUUCUCCCAUUUUGCCUUUUAGAUCCACUCGCUCUUUGAUACUAACACACCUUGUUGAGUACAGUGCUCUCUGGAUCCUCUGUUACUGACACCUAUUCUUUUGUGCAGACAUGAAUGAUGUCUCCUGCAACCAUGUCAAGUGAAGGCCACUUACAUGCAUGAUUCUCCCACACCCUGAUUAACUGGGGUUUGUAGGUGUUGGGAUCAGUGCCCUUGCACUCCAUUGCUGGUUUCAAAUCUUUACUCAUCUCACUUUGACAUCCAUUUUCCUAGAGUUAUCCAUUUCCCUUUGCCAGCUUCACCUCUUCCUACUUUCUAUUAUCUACUGACAUUCAUUUUUGCUUUUCGUUCAUGCAGGCCUUUAACUGAUGACUCCCAGCUUCCCUCUCCAUCCAAGUCCCAGUCUUCCUUCUCAAGCCUCUAGCAUCCAUGUAGAUGGCUUGUAUUGCACACAAACUUCUUGGUUCCAUUUUUGUAUUUCCCUUCAUACCCACUCAAUCACGUGUUCCUCUGGUCUUUAACUAAAGAGGUCAUAACCCAUGACUGUACCACCUCCAGUAUUUCAAAUUUAAGGUUUCAAUUCUCUAAGUACAACCUUCGACUCUGUAUACACACCUUCUCAAUAACCACAUAGAACCAAGUCUUCCAUAAAAUUUAGAUCUUUGAUCCAUUGCUUCCACCAGUUUCUCCCCUGUCUUCUCCUCCCUUGUACCUUGUGGUUGGCAACCACUAAUCUAACCCCCAGUGAUCCCUAUUUCCUGUUAUUCAUGCUCUUGUGUAAUCAUCUCCCAUGCAGUGUGGGCUAGAUUUAGAAACUUGCCUCUAACAAAUAGAAUAUGGCAGUACUAAUGAGAUGUCACUUCCAAGGUUAGGGUAUAAAAUGGCUGUGUCUUCCAUCUUAAGAGCUUUUCUGCCCCCUCUUAAAUCACUUCAUCUGCUGUCAGGCAGUUGUGUCAUGCUGUGAGACAGCCCUGUGGGAAGUCUUAUGUGAGUUUGAACAGGAGCAGAUUUUCUGAGGCCUCUCAAUAGCCAUGUGAGUGAGCUCAGAAGUACAAGUUUACACAGUCACAUCUUGAGAUGAUAGUAGCCAUGCCAACAUCUUGGUAGUAACCUUGUGAGAGACCUUGAAUCAAAACCACCCAGCUAAUCUGCUCCUGGUUCCAUAACCUGCAGAAACUAUAACAUACAUACCAGAUGUUUGCUAUUUCCAGUUGCUAAGUUUGGGGAUAACUUGCUGUGUAACAGUAGAUAACUAAUGCAUACCCAUGGAUUCCAUGCUCAUUACUGUAGUAAUUAACUUACAACCUUCAGCUCUCUCUUACAUUUUGUGGCUGAAUUACCAUGCAUACUAUUCUGUGAAACUGCCCUCUUCAAACCAGCAUCCAUGAAGCCAAACAUUGGUGAAGAAAUGGACAGCCUCUGCAGUCUGAUAGCCCUGCACAACCACCAACAUCACAUGGCCUCAACACAUGAGCUGUCAAUCUUACCUUUCACUUGUAAGCUGACUUUCCCACUGUACCCUGUGAAUAUUUUGUAACUUUUACUUUAUCAUUAAAACUUAAAACUUCCCUUCAACUCUGAUACCUUUCUGGAUUCUUCAUUGAUGAAACAGAUGUGAUCAGAUAGGAACUCCAUUAUCUUACAGGACAAAUUCACUAAACCUACUGAGUCUUCACCCAUUUUCUCCUUUCUCCUGUCUCUAGGGAGGUGUUGCCCUUAUCUCAUGGCCUUCCUGAGAGAAGGACCCUUCCACAAGGACCUCGAAUCUUAUGUCUACUUAUUCUCUCUCACACUAAAAAUCUCUCCCUCUCUCCUGGAUGUUUAUACCCACAGAUAUUUUAUAGCAGUGUUGCCCAUCCUGAAACAACUUUUGAUCCAAAAUCCCUAUUCUCAGCUUCCCUACACAACUAAUCUCUAAAAAGAAGUCUAUUACAUUCUCUUCCUGUCCUCACUCCCCUCUUAUUUCUCACUUCACUCCAGUCUGGCUAUCACUCUUAUGGUUCUACUGGAAAAGUUCUGAACCAAGGUCUCUAAGGACUUUCAUGUUGCCAAGGUGAAGGAUAAAUGUCUUUUCUCAUUUGUCGACAACUUUCAGCAGCAUUUUGCUUGUUCUACCUUAUAUUUUGAGCAUCACUUCCAUCUUGAUUUCUGUUUUGCCAUACUCUCCUGGACCUCACUGACUCCCCAGUCUCUUUUGCUGGUUCUUCUUUUCCAUGACUUUGAAAUGCCACUUCCUUAGAGGUAAAUGUUGGGUCUCCUUCCCUCAAUUCUUUACCAUAUCUUCCAUGGUGAUCUAAUGCAUUCCCAAUAUCAAAUAUCACUGUAAGAAUAUAUACACACAUACACAUGAACAAAUAUACAUACAUACUUCUGUACCAAUACACAGGUACACAAAUGUGUAUUUCUUUAGCUAAAAACUCUCUUCUGAGCCCCAAAUUUCUAUAUAGUCAAUUGUCUAAAUGAAAUCUCUGCUAAAGAUGUCUGACAGUCAUCUCAUAUUUAAAUAAUAAAACAAAACUCCUCGUUUUCCCAAGAAACGUGUUCUCCCUCAGCCUUUCCAUCUCAGGAAAUGGCACCAUUAUGCACCCAGUGAUUCAAUCUGCAAACAUCAGAAUAAUGCUGUGGCCUCUCAAGUUCAAUCCUUUGACAAAUGCUGUCUGUUUCAUUUUGUUUUCAUUUGCUAGGGCCACAAAACAACGUAUCACAGAUGGGGGGUGUGGCUUGAACAACAAAUAUAUUUUCUCACUGUUUUGAAAGCUACAAGGUGCUAAUGCAGUUGAUUUCCUCUACAGUCUCUCUCCUUGGCUUGCAGAUGACCACCCUCUUGCUGUUUCCUCACAGGAUGGUCCCUCUAUGUCUGUGUACCUCUGGUGUCUCUCUGUGUGUCUUAAUCUCCUUUUUUUGUAAGGACAUCAGUCAGAUUGGAUGAGGGCCUGCCUUAGGGAACUUAUUGUAGUGAAAUCCCAUCUUAAAGACCCUGUCUCCAAAUAAAGUCACAUUCUGAGGUACUGAGGGUUAGAGAUUCAACAUAUGAAUUAUGAGGGGACAUCAUUCAACCCGUAAGACAUCUCAAACACAUGUGUCUCAAAUCUAACUCAUUCUUUCCCUUUUCACACGUCUUUCUUUUCCAAAGCACAUAUGUCUUUCUUUUGUGUAGUUGACUAUAGUAACCUUCUAUCUGGUGUCAAAUAUUCUUUGUUAAUCCACCUUCAGUCAAUUAUGCUCAAGGUUAAAAAAAAAAAAGUGUUCUUUUAAAAAAGGAUUCAAAGUGUUUUUUUUCAGCCUCACCUAAGGCACUCACCUACUGAGCUGCUGCAGUGACAAUGCCAGAUCCUUAACCCUCUGUGCCACAAGAGAACUCUGAAAUUCAUAUUUUUUUUAAACCCUAGUUACUUCUCAUGGCACAUAUAGUAAAUCCAAACCCUUAAUCAUGGCCUACAGGUCCCACAUCAUGUGACUCGUGUUUCCUUUUCAUCCUGCUUACUCAUGAGGCACACACUACUUAAUCUUUCUGUAUCUUAAAGACAUCAAGUUUUUUCUUUCCUUAUAGCCUUUCUGUAUCAGGAAUGGACUUCCCUUCUCUUAUUCUUGGGUAACUUGCAUUGGCCUAUCCUUUUUUCAUCCCCCAGGUUUUGUCUUAAAAGUCUUCUGAGAAGCUUUUUUUGAACUACCCAAUCUGUAGUCUCUCUCCUUAUAUCUUCUUUUAAGAUACUUAUUUGUCUGUUUUUAGUAUUUGCUAAUUUUUAAUUAUUUAAUUGUUCUUUUUUUUCCUCAUUAGCCUACAAGCUCCAUCACUAUAUAUGCUCAUCUAAUGUGAUACAAGGCACAUAGUAAGUGAUUAUUUGAUGUUAAGUGACUGAGUUGGUUGAAAUUUGCAGUAUAAGCCAUUCCAUUUGUUGGUAUUAGUUGUGCCUAGUAGGAUUUAUCUGUCUUAUAUAUGUAUAUGUAUAUAUUAUACAAUACAAUAUAUAUAUUGUAUAACAUAUAUUGGUAUCACAGCUCAGCUUGAGUUUUCCUUCCCUGGACUUUAUAUCCUUCAGUCAUUUCUCAGGUGCUUUGUCUCCUGACUCUUACAUUUAUGGCUGCUUUCAAUUGAAUUUAUCUCAAUUGGUCCCAGUUCUGGGAUGCCCAACUUUAAAAAAAUUACUGCAUAUUUUAACUUUCCUGUGUAUAUAUAAUAAAUCUAUUUAUUCAGUUUAAAUCAUUAAAGAUUUAUUGAGCAUCUACU